rnacentral:hammerhead_ribozyme from 1 species
ACCCAACUGACCAGUCCCAAAUAAGACGAAACGUGAGUCCUGAAU